rnacentral:rRNA from 1 species
CCUACGGGUGGCAGCAGUGAGGAAUAUUGGUCAAUGGUCGGGAGACUGACCCAGCCACGCCGCGUGAGGGAGGAAGGUACAGAGUAUCGUAAACCUCUUUUGUCAGGGAACACAGACUGGGACGCGUCCCCGGAUGAGUGUACCUGAAGACAAAGCAUCGGCUAACUCCGUGCCAGCAGCCUCGGUACUACGGAGGAUGCGAGCUUUAUCCGGAUUUAUUGGGUUUGACGGGUGCGCAGGCGGUCUGUUAAGUCAGCGGUAAAAGCCCGGGGCUCAACUCCGGCCCGCCGUUGAAACGGGCAGUCUCGAGUUGGAGAGAAGUAGGCGGAAUGCGCGGUGUAGCGGUGAAAUGCAUAGAUAUCGCGCAGAACUCCGAUGGCGAAGGCAGCAUGCCGGCUCCACACUGACGCUGAGGCACGAAAGCGUGGGUAUCGAACAGGAUUAGAUACCCUUGUAGUC